rnacentral:rRNA from 1 species
CUUGACACUGAACACUGGUCCUUGAUGUGUAGGAUAGGUGGGAGGCUUUGAAGCGAGGACGCCAGUUCUUGUGGAGCCAACCUUGAAAUACCACCCUUUAAUGGCUGGUGUUCUAACGUGGACCCGUUACCCGGGUUGCGGACAGUGUCUGGUGGGUAGUUUGACUGGGGCGGUCUCCUCCUAAAGCGUAACGGAGGAGCACGAAGGUUAGCUAAUCCUGGUCGGACAUCAGGAGGUUAGUGCAAUGGCAUAAGCUA